rnacentral:rRNA from 1 species
UACGUAGGGUGGGAGCGUUAAUCGGAAUUACUGGGCGUAAAGCGUGCGCAGGCGGUUUUGUAAGCCGGAUGUUAAAUCCCCGGGCUUAACCUGGGAAUGGCAUUCGGGACUGCAAGGCUGGAGUGCGGCAGAGGAGACUGGAAUUCCUGGUGUAGCAGUGAAAUGCGUAGAGAUCAUGAGGAAGACCAGUGGCGAAGGCGGGUCUCUGGACAGUUCCUGACACUGAGGCACGAAGGCCAGGGGAGCAAACGGG